rnacentral:rRNA from 1 species
CAUUAGUGAAUAUAGGACGUCCAACUUAACUUGGAGUCCGAACUCUCACUUUCUAACCCUGUGCACUUGUUUGGGAUAGUAACUCUCGCAAGAGAGCGAACUCCUAUUCACUUAUAAACACAAAGUCUAUGAAUGUAUUAAAUUUUAUAACAAAAUAAAACUUUCAACAACGGAUCUCUUGGCUCUCGCAUCGAUGAAGAACGCAGCGAAAUGCGAUAAGUAAUGUGAAUUGCAGAAUUCAGUGAAUCAUCGAAUCUUUGAACGCACCUUGCGCUCCAUGGUAUUCCGUGGAGCAUGCCUGUUUGAGUGUCAUGAAUACUUCAACCCUCCUCUUUCUUAAUGAUUGAAGAGGUGUUUGGUUUCUGAGCGCUGCUGGCCUUUACGGUCUAGCUCGUUCGUAAUGCAUUAGCAUCCGCAAUCGAACUUCGGAUUGACUUGGCGUAAUAGACUAUUCGCUGAGGAAUUCUAGUCUUCGGACUAGAGCCGGGUUGGGUUAAAGGAAGCUUCUAAUCAGAAUGUCUACAUUUUAAGAUUAGAUCUCAAAUCAGGUAGGACUACCCGCUGAACUUAAGCAUAUCAAUAAGCGGAGGA